AGGGGUUUGACAUAAUAUAUCCAUACCCUAAUGAUAUGAUUGAGAGUAUUGUUUUAGAGAAGGAUCGAAUUACAUUGUAAUUCCAACUGAAUAGGUUCUCCGAAUAAACUUCUACAUUAGCUUGGGUGGCUAUGACAUAUCGUUAGAUGUCACUCAUAGCUUGUGAGUUCUUCUAGAUGAUUAAAUGUAGUCGUCAAAGAAGAAAGAUGAAUUAAAAUGAAGUUUUAAUUCACUAAGUGAUUGAAUUAAAUAUAAGCAAUUGGAUUGAUACCAAUCACCUCACUGCCUUGCUAAUUAGAACCUAAAAGAUUGUUCACCAAUACACUAUUGUAGUGAGUAACUAAUGGAUGAUGGAAAUAAUUAAUUGGAUUAAUUAAGUGUUGUGAUUAAUUUAGAAACUCUAAAGAAAUCAUAAAAGCGAUAAAGAUCGUUUUGGGCUUAAAGAAACGUUCGGGUUU
rnacentral:lncRNA from 1 species